UGUGUUCAUUUUAAGCUAGCCAUAUAGUAAUUUUUAAAUAAUAGUUGGUUAAUUGGUGUAGCCCGGGUAACCUAUGCUACCAGCAAAGAGAAAAAAAGUUAAGAAAAGGAAACAAAAUCUAGAAGAAAAAUAGAUUCAUCCAAUCACUGAUCGUGCUGCAGUGAGAGACACCCCUAAGAGCCAAUAGUAGCGGCGCAUCCAUAAGUCCCGCCCACUGAUCGCGCCGGCGCUGCUUUCAGCGUGAGCAGAUGAGAGAGAGAGUCAGAGCAGAUCAGCACAGUUUCUCCAGAACAUCCACUGAUCUAACUGGAAAUGUGAUUGAGUGAACUAAAAGUGGAGCUUUUGAAGUCGAUGCGUCAGCCUGAAGUGUUGUCGCCGGAGACAGAGAAGAGAGAGACGGAGCGGAUCUCAGCGUGUGGAAGCAUUACCCAAAGGAAAAGGACAGUGAUUCCCAAACCACAGAGAAAUGAAUGACUGUUGAUGAGUAUCAAGCACAACCUCGACAGAGACUCAGAAGAGGCUGAAAAAAUGGAGGAAAACAGAAAAAUUGAGAAAUGACAACAAAAAAAGCUACCAAAUCUGAUAAAUGAAGUGAAGAUGGCCCUGAAGUCUCAGUGUUCGUCAGCAUCAGUCACAUGACUUGGAAGAUGGGACAGGAUUUGCCACAGAGUAAUUACAGAGCCCUUCCAACAGAACGGGAGCAACGUUGCAGAAAGUGUCCUCAUGUGGUGCCUGCCAGCAUUGGUACAGUAAAUAAUGCCAAAACUUACUGAAAUUAGAGGGAAGAAUACACAAAAAUAUCUGAAAACCUUAAUGGUGUUUGAUGAUUGAUAGCCAUGACAGUGUGUUCAAGGUAUUUUGUUGUUGUUGUUGUUGUUGUUGGGGUGUGUGUGUGUGUUGUCUUCACAAAGUUCAGUUUGAUAUCAAGUUUUAAUUUUAAAUUACUCUUGUGGAGUAUAAUUUGAUUGUCUUGUUGAUUGUUGAAAUAAAAGUAUUUCUAAUGUAAAUCUGAGCAAGUAAUUGACUGAAAUCAUAUAUGAUUUGUAUAUGCAGAGAUAUUGUAAUAUUUUAUGAAAUCAUGUAAGAUAAUUAUAUGUAGAGAUAUGAGGAAUUAGGUGGAAACGUAUAAAAUCUGUGUAAAAUUCAUAUGAGCAAAUGAUGCAAAAUUUAAAUAAAUCCUAUAUGACUUGCAUAUGAUUCAAUCAAGAAUUUUAAAUGAUUUGUAUAGGAAAUUUACUGACAUUCAUACACAUUUUCUACUAAAAUCAUAUAUUAAUUCAUACUGUUGUCAUGUAAAACUCGUAUAAGAAUUUUGCAGUAUUCAUAUAUGACCUAAAAAUCCCAUAUAAGUUUUAUGUGUGCUUUUUAGUAUGAAAGUGGCCAUAAUCGGUCUGAUUUUGUAUAGGACAUGUAUUAGACUUAUAUGAAACACAUAAGGAAAUUCUGGCUGAUUUGAGUAAGGAAGAUAUAUGGUUGCUGUAUAUGAAACAUACAGGUUUUUUUCAUAUGGGGGGGUCUACAGAGGGCAUUUAUUGUCUGAUGCAAUAUUCUGCUGACGGAUGGCUGAGAUAUGUGUAGUUCGUCCGCACUGCAUAGCUGCAUUUUCCCUGUGGCCAGGUAGCGCAGAGUUGUUAAAACUUUGAUCUCCGGUGUUAUGGGGUUAUUUUUGUCGGUGAAGUGACUGCGUCCCUGACCAGCUCGACAACAGUCAUAAUACCUACGCAAUUAAGGCGAUAUCUUUUUAAAAGCUUGUUAUCGUUAAAUCUUUCUAAAAAUGUUUGCGUUCUGAUGUGGAUUGCUGGCAACAGCCAUUUUAGGAUUGUGAAGAGGCACUAAAAGUUCUUAGUUAAGAGUUUUCUCUUAAAACCUAUUCACAAAGCUGCUGAGACAAACUUUUACUAAGGAAUAGAGAAAACUCUUAAGCUAAGAGUAAGGGCGGGGUUGACCUCGUUGCUAUGGAUGAUGUCAACAAGCUUACUAACUAUGCCCACAGUGAUUGGCUGAUGGAGGAGUCUCUGUCAGUGAUUCAUUCAUAGAAAUAUUGUUGAAAUGUAUCAUUUAGCCAUAUUCAAAUAAUGAUUUUAAAAUAAAAAUGUCAUGUUCAAAUAAAGAUUUUAAAAUAAAAAUGUCAUAUUCAAGUAAAGAUUUUAAAAUAAAAAUGUUGCUAUAUUCAAAUAAAGGUUUUAAAAUGUAAUUGUCACCAUAGGCAUAAUUUGCGGCUGGGACAGGCGAACAUGUUUACGGACAUGUUUUUGAAAGGGUCGAUAUUGUCCCGACCACUUUUUGAAACAUCUCGCGGCACGGAUCUAAUACAAAAGAAACACCUCUAGUUGAUUAUCAAUUUGUGUUAAAUAAUAGGCGAUCUGCCGCUGGGAUGUGUUGUUUUUGAAAUCAUGUUGAGUGCUCCUUGUCGCUGUUAUCAGAGGUGCAACAGUGAUCUCUUGGUGCUCGUGCACACUGCGAUUCAUUUCACACAGAUGAGCGCUUCUAUGGUUUUAAUGAAUUUUUUUUUUUUUUUAAAUAAUACAUGGUUGGUUUAGAACCCAGAACCUCUUGCAUGCUAAAAGAUAAUGCUGCCACUAGUCCAUUAGGAUAAUCUUAUUUUUAAGAACGGAUCCACGUAUUUAUUAACUAAUUUACUCACUCUGGGCCCUCGGGGCUAACGACAUAAUGUCAAUAAUGACCUAUUGUAUUAUAGCAGAUGUAAGGAAGAAACUAUCAUAUUAAAUUUUAAUAUCAUAUUAUUAUUAUUUUUAUUGUUAUUGUAAUAAUAAUACAAUACACCCCCCACAUACACAUUCCUGUCCCACCCAAUUUUUAAAACAAAGUUACGCCACUGGUUGUCACUGAUGAAACUAUGUAGGCUAUAUGUACAUGUUUGCGUGUCGAGAGAUUGAAGAAUUCAGGUGACAAAUUAUGUUUUAUUACCAAAGUUUGCCAUCUAAUCAGCUAAAUUCUUUUUGGGCUAAAUUCCAAGCUCGGAGCCCUCAGACAAUUAUUAUUAUUAUUAUUAUUAUUAUUAUUAUUAUUAUUAUUUACUCUAUUCGAUCAUUUGUAAGUGUGAACUAGAGAAAAUAAUUUCCACAUGUAAUCAGACAUUAUGUAUUUAAGAUAUGUUUUUUUUUUUUUUUUUAAUUUUGCCUUUAUCGUAGAUUCAAAUCUAAAUCAAAAUAUGUAUUGCAUUUAGGCGGAUUGCUGAGGCAGACUGACAGUAACAGCUAUUAGGAUUGUUUGUGAUUUGGUCUUAGUGAUUUAGGAGUCCUCUUGACUACUCCUUACGUCUCACAGAUUUAGGAGCUAGUUUUAAUGCUAAAAUGCUUUGUGAAAUAGUCCUAGAACAAACAUUUAGGAGUCCUAAAAUUAGGACGGACACGCCCAUUAUUUUUAAGAGUUUCUCCUAAAUCGGCAAGUUAGAAGCUACAUUUAGCCUUAAGAUAAUUUGUGAAUACGGCCCCAGAUAGGAGUCCUCUUGACUGCUCCUAACGUUCACAGAUUUAGGAGCUAGUUUUAACACUAAAAUGCUUUGUGAAAUACUCUUAG